AUGAACGCUGGCGGCGUGCCUAAUACAUGCAAGUCGCGCGAACGGACGAGAAGCUUGCUUCUCUGAUGUUAGCGGCGGACGGGUGAGUAACACGUGGAUAACCUACCUAUAAGACUGGGAUAACUUCGGGAAACCGGAGCUAAUACCGGAUAAUAUUUUGAACCGCAUGGUUCAAAAGUGAAAGACGGUCUUGCUGUCACUUAUAGAUGGAUUCGCGCUGCAUUAGCUAGUUGGUAAGGUAACGGCUUACCAAGGCAACGAUGCAUAGCCGACCUGAGAGGGUGAUCGGCCACACUGGAACUGAGACACGGUCCAGACUCCUACGGGAGGCAGCAGUAGGGAAUCUUCCGCAAUGGGCGAAAGCCUGACGGAGCAACGCCGCGUGAGUGAUGAAGGUCUUCGGAUCGUAAAACUCUGUUAUUAGGGAAGAACAUAUGUGUAAGUAACUGUGCACAUCUUGACGGUACCUAAUCAGAAAGCCACGGCUAACUACGUG
rnacentral:rRNA from 1 species